rnacentral:rRNA from 1 species
AUUGAACGCUGGCGGCAGGCUUUACACAUGCAAGUCGAGCGGGUCGGCGGAGGGGUGAGUAUGACCUAGGAAUCUGCCUGGUAGGGGGGGAGAACGUCAGGUAUCGGGAGCUAAAACCGCAUACUAGCAGAAUAGCCUAGGCCGGAUUAGCUGGUGGGUGUGGUAAAGGCCUACAAAGGCGACGGUCCGUAACUGGUCUGAGAGGAUGAUCAGUCACACUGGGACUGUGGAACGGUCCAGACUCCUCCGGGAGGCAGCAGUGGGGAAUUUUGGACAAUGGGCGAAAGCCUGAUCCAGCCAUGCCGCGUGUGUGAAGAAGGUCUUCGGAUUGUAAAGCACUUUAAGUUGGGAAGCGUUACCAACAGAAUAAGCACCGGCUAACUUCGUGCCAGCAGCCGCGGUAAUUC